rnacentral:rRNA from 1 species
UACGAACUGUGCGAACGUUAUUCGGAAUCACUGGGCUUACAGGGUGCGUAGGCGGCCUGUUAAGUAGGGUGUGAAAGCCCCCGGCUCAACCGGGGAAUGGCGCCCUAAACUGGCGGGCUGGAGUGAGAUAGGGGUGUGCGGAACUUCCGGUGGAGCGGUGAAAUGUGUUGAUAUCGGAAGGAACGCCGGUGGCGAAAGCGGCACACUGGAUCUCAACUGACGCUGAGGCACGAAAGCCAGGGGAGCGAACGGG